GUAAAUAUAGUUUAUCCAAAACACUAGACUG
rnacentral:tRNA from 1 species